rnacentral:rRNA from 1 species
AGAGUUUGAUCAUGGCUCAGGACGAACGCUGGCGGCGCGCCUAACACAUGCAAGUCGAACGGGAUCUUUUAGAGAGCUUGCUCUCUGGCUGAUCUAGUGGCGGACGGGUGAGUAACACGUGAGCAACCUGCCAAGGAGUGGGGGAUAACGUCUGGAAACGGACGCUAAUACCGCAUAAUGUGCAGGGAUGGCAUCAUCCUUGUACCAAAGGAGAAAUCCGCUUUUUGAUGGGCUCGCGCCCGAUUAGAUAGUUGGUGAGGUAAUGGCUCACCAAGUCUGCGAUCGGUAGCCGGACUGAGAGGUUGAACGGCCACAUUGGGACUGAGACACGGCCCAGACUCCUACGGGAGGCAGCAGUGGGGGAUAUUGCACAAUGGGGGAAACCCUGAUGCAGCGACGCCGCGUGAGUGAAGACGGCCUUCGGGUUGUAAAGCUCUGUGGACAGGGACGAUAAUGACGGUACCUGUCUAGAAAGCCACGGCUAACUACGUGCCAGCAGCCGCGGUAAUACGUAGGUGGCAAGCGUUGUCCGGAAUUACUGG